CUUUAUGAAUUUCUAUUUAGAAUUAGGAUUACUUUUAUUUUUGUCAAGCUGCAAAUCUCACUGCCAUACAUGUCGACAUGACAUCUAAUUUUGGGAGACAGUUUUCUUUUGUUUUGUUUCAGAUUGGGGGGAGGGGGUGGGGUGGUAAAAAUGCGAUGAGUGUUAUAACACGUCUGCAGGUAUUCUUUCCUUCAUUUUGGCCAUUGAAAGCCGGACGUGACAAAAACUAUACAGAUAUAGAAUGUGUAUAUAUUUAAAAGUCAUACGUUCAAGUCUGGUUGUCUAGACUCUGUUUCUAUUGAUGAGAAGAAUUUUUAAUUUAAAAAGUGUAUUCAUAUUUCUAAAUUCCACAUCAAAGUUUGACUUCAAACAAGUUUUUAAUUUAAAACGUACUUUUAAAAAAGAGAAAAGAAAAAAAAAUAUUGUAGUCAUUUACAAGAGUCAGAAGUUAAAAGGUAAAGAUAGUGUGGUCAUUUACAAGAGUCAGAAGUUAAAAGGUAAAGAUAGUGUGGUCAUUUACAAGAGUCAGAAGUUAAAAGGUAAAGAUAGUGUGGUCAUUUACAAAUAGUCAGAAGUUAAAAGGUAAAGAUAGUGUGGUCAUUUACAAAGAGUCAGAAGUUCAAAGGUAAAGAUAGUGUGGUCAUUUACAAGAGUCAGAAGUUAAAAGGUAAAGAUAGUGUGGUCAUUUACAAGAGUCAGAAGUUAAAAGGUAAAGAUAGUGUGGUCAUUUACAAAGAGUCAAAAGUUAAAAGGUAAAGAUAGUGUGGUCAUUUACAAGAGUCAAAAGUUAAAAUGUAAAGAUAGUGUGGUCAUUUACAAGAGUCAAAAGUUAAAAGGUAAAGAUAGUGUGGUCAUUUACAAGAGUCAGAAGUUAAAAUGUAAAGAUAGUGUGGUCAUUUACAAGAGUCAAAAGUUAAAAGGUAAAGAUAGUGUGGUCAUUUACAAGAGUCAGAAGUUAAAAGGUAAAGAUAGCGUGGUCAUUUACAAGAGUCAGAAGUUAAAAGGUAAAGAUAGCGUGGUCAUUUACAAGAGUCAGAAGUUAAAAGGUAGUGUGGUCAUUUACAAGAGUCAGAAGUUCAAAGGUAAAGAUAGUGUGGUCAUUUACAAGAGUCAGAAGUUAAAAGGUAGCGUGGUCAUUUACAAGAGUCAGAAGUUAAAAGGUAAAGAUAGUGUGGUCAUUUACAAGAGUCAGAAGUUCAAAGGUAAAGAUAGUGAUGUCAUUUACAAAGAGUCAGAAGUUCAAAGGUAAAGAUAGUGUGGUCAUUUACAAAGAGUCAGAAGUUAAAAGGUAAAGAUAGUGUGGUCAUUUACAAAGAGUCAGAAGUUAAAAGGUAAAGAUAGUGUGGUCAUUUACAAGAGUCAGAAGUUCAAAGGUAAAGAUAGUGUGGUCAUUUACAAGAGUCAGAAGUUCAAAGGUAAAGAUAGUGUGGUCAUUUACAAAGAGUCUUGAAAACCACUAUUACAAUGAAUACUUCAUUUGCGGCGAUACCAAAAUGUAUUUAAAACUUUUGAUUAUAAACUCUAGCAAAGUAAGUAUGUGUCAUUCGACAUCCUUCACGAUCAGUGUGUGACCUACUUUUGUCACUUGCACCAUUUUCAAACGUGUUUAUCUCAAAGUCUGAUACAGAUUUUAAAAAGCAAUAAAUUUUGAAAGUUGACAUUUCCAGCCACUUCCAAGUGAGGUGAACGCAGGAAAUAUUUAUGAUAACAGUAUUUGGUGUGUAAUAUGAAAUGGAAUUUUUAAUUUCGGGAUCUUUAGGGCUGAAC